GACGAACGCUGGCGGCGUGCUUAACACAUGCAAGUCGAACGGAAAGGCCCUGCUUUUGUGGGGUGCUCGAGUGGCGCACGGGUGAGUAACACGUGAGUAACCUGCCCUUGACUUUGGGAUAACUUCAGGAAACUGGGGCUAAUACCGGAUAGGAGCUCCUGCUGCAUGGUGGGGGUUGGAAAGUUUCGGCGGUUGGGGAUGGACUCGCGGCUUAUCAGCUUGUUGGUGGGGUAGUGGCUUACCAAGGCUUUGACGGGUAGCCGGCCUGAGAGGGGGACCGGGCACAUGAGGACUGAGAGACGGCCCAGACGCGUACGGGAGGCAGCAGUGGGGAGUAUUGCACAAUGGGCGGAAGCCUGAUGCAGCAACGCCGCGUGCGGGAUGACGGGCUUCGGGUUGUAAACCGCUUUCGCCUGUGACGAAGCGGGAGUGACGGUAAUGGGUAAAGAAGCACCGGCUAACUACGUG
rnacentral:rRNA from 1 species